CUCAGAACGAACGCUGGCGGCGUGGAUAAGACAUGCAAGUCGAACGAUUAUCAUCGGGUAGCAAUAUUCGGUGGUGAGAGUGGCGCAAGGGUGCGUAACACGUGGGUAAUUUGCCAUGAAGUCUGGAAUAACUUGCUGAAAGGCGAGCUAAUACCGGAUGUGAUUUUUGGAAGGCAUCUUCUGAAACUCAAAGUCGGGGACCGUAAGGCCUGACGCUUCUUGAUAAGCCCGCGGCCUAUCAGCUAGUUGGUGAGGUAACGGCUCACCAAGGCUAAGACGGGUAGCUGGCCUGAGAGGACGACCAGCCUCACUGGAACUGAGACACGGUCCAGACACCUACGGGUGGCAGCAGUCGAGAAUUUUUCUCAAUGGGGAAACCCUGAAGGAGCGACGCCGCGUGGGGGAUGAAUGGCUUCGGCCCGUAAACCCCUGUCAUUUGCGAUCAAACCUUACGACCUAACACGUCGUAAGCUGAUAGUAGCGGAAGAGGAAGGGACGGCUAACUCUGUG
rnacentral:rRNA from 1 species